rnacentral:rRNA from 1 species
CAGUCGCCGCGGUAAUACGAAGGGUGCAAGCGUUACUCGGAAUUACUGGGCGUAAAGCGUGCGUAGGUGGUGGUUUAAGUCCGUUGUGAAAGCCCUGGGCUCAACCUGGGAAUUGCAGUGGAUACUGGGUCACUAGAGUGUGGUAGAGGAUAGUGGAAUUUCCGGUGUAGCAGUGAAAUGCGUAGAGAUCGGAAGGAACAUCCGUGGCGAAGGCGACUAUCUGGGACAACACUGACGCUGAGGCACGAAAGCGUGGGGAGCAAACAGGAUUAGAUACCCGCGUAGUCCCUGUCUCUUAUAC